rnacentral:lncRNA from 1 species
AAACAAACCAAUAAAACAAAAUAUCAAUUCAUGACACUAUGUAAAAAGACUUCUGCAUAUCAUAUAAAAAAAACAACAUACAACAUAUCAAAAUAAGAUAUGUCUCGUCUGUUCUUGAUGAUAACGUUAAUACAAAAGAAAUCUGAAUUUAGAAAAUGAUAAAAAUUUAAUGAAAAAAGGUCCUACUACAUGCACCGUUUAGAACAUAAUACAACA